UACGAAGGGGGCUAGCGUUGCUCGGAAUCACUGGGCGUAAAGCGCACGUAGGCGGCUUUCUAAGUCAGGGGUGAAAUCCUGGAGCUCAACUCCAGAACUGCCUUUGAUACUGGGAAGCUCGAGUCCGGGAGAGGUGAGUGGAACUCCGAGUGUAGAGGUGAAAUUCGUAGAUAUUCGCAAGAACACCAGUGGCGAAGGCGGCUCACUGGCCCGGUACUGACGCUGAGGUGCGAAAGCGUGGGGAGCGAACAGG
rnacentral:rRNA from 1 species